AAAGACGAGGAUGAAUAGAGGAGAGGUACGUCAGCAGCAGUCCACCAAAGCCCCCUACGAUUGUGUCUGGAGUGGUGACAAAGGGUGAUAAGGACUUCACCCCUGCAGCCGCCCAGGUGGCUCAUCAGAAGC